rnacentral:lncRNA from 1 species
AUACUUUAAGAUUCAGAAAUACUUCAUUUUUGGCCCCUUCCCUCUUUCUUUUUACAAUAAAUUCUUCCUCCUUGUCUGGUGGGAGUGUGGCCAGAUGUGCUGCUGGAAAGAUCCCCCUGGACACAUUUGCUGCCGUGUGUCUGUUCAUCACCUUGCUGGGUCUCAUCCUCCCUCCGGCUGGAACAGUCUGCGUGGCAGCGAGGGAAUGGGGGUCAGCCUGCAGGACAUCGCGGGAACACGGGGAACCUCUGGCCACUUAGGGGAGUCUGCCAUUGAGAGAGGCGGAGAACAAUGAACAAAGAAGCAGAAUCCCACGGACACACUGCCCGGCACAUCUCCUCCUGUCAGCAGCCUCCAGCAGAGUAAAAAUGGUUGGUUAAGUGCAAGGUCGUUUUUAAAGAUGCAUCAGAAUUCAGACAAAGGAAUAACCCCCAAAGGCAUACUCAGAUACUUUCUCAGUCACCUGGUAAGGUUGCAGCCUCUUCACCUGUAUUCAGUGUGCUUGUUGGUUGGACUGUUCUCUCUUGUUCCCUGGGGACCUGUCUGGGAAAUGCCCAAAUUCCACUGGGAUAACUGCCGGCAAGCAUGGUGGACGAAUCUGCUGUUGCUAAAUAACUUUGUGUCGGUCAAGAAUGCGUGCAAUGGCUGGACCUGGUACCUUGCCAAUGACUUCCAGUUCCACCUCACCACACCAGUGAUUAUCUUCAUCCAUGUAAAGAGUACACAGAUCCUCAUCCUCCUUGGGGCCAUGCUGUUCUUGGCAUCUUUCACAGCCACUGCUCUGAUCACAUUGGCAUAUAAACUUCCUGUCGUGGCUCCAUCAGAAACCAGGUCCUCUCUGAACUCAACGUUGCCCAUUGAAACGCUUCUCAGAGGAAAGGAGCGCCCCCAUGUGGCUGUACUGUGUUUCUCCUCCAGCAGCCAAUGGCUGCUUGGUGGCUCUGUUGGAUGGAGAGACUGAACCUACCUCUUCAAGGUCACACAACUAGUAGGUGGCACAGGUGUGAUUUGAACCUAGAAGCCAAUCCACAGUGCUAUUUCCCCUACCCAAUGAGGCAUGUAUGACACUUACACAGGAAAAACUGUUAUGAUUACCUGCUAAUCUUCUCUCAAUGCAGUGACACAAAUGAAAAUCAGAUUACGUCAGUCAUCUGCUCGAAUUCCUCCAGUGGCCUCAUUGGUCACCCUCCUACCUGCUGACACUGGACCAGCCACACCAACUCAUCUCAACGCACCAAGCACUUUCCCCGAACCCCCUUCCCCACCCUCCCCAACCCGGGGCCUUAGCACUUGCUGUUGAGCCUGAAUUACUCUUCUGUUAAAAUCUAAGAUCUUGGCAGGGCUUUCUCCUUCACAUCUUUCAGGUGUCUGUGCAAAUGUCACCUUCUCAGAGCAGCCUUUGCCGAUCUUCCAAAAUAAAAUGGCCAGAACCGUUCCUGGUAUGUGAGUGUUCCAUGUGAAUCUGUGAGUGGGUGGCAUGUGAGAAUAAAUGAAUGAAUUGGUGAUAACAUCCCAAGCCUCCUGACCAGGAGACUAUCAUGCCCUUCCCAUAUCAUGGCAUGGUGAAGUGAUUGAGGAGGAGGCUCACUCAUGUCCAGCCCAGCGGUUUUCAACCCUGGCCACAUAUUAGAGUCACUUGGGAGCUUCUAAAUCUACAGAUGCUUUCAUCCCCACCCACCUCCGAACAAUUGAAUCAGAAUCUCUGGGCAUGGGGCCCAGGCAGCUGACUUUUGUAAGCAUUCCCAGGGUGCUUACAAAU